GACGAACGCUGGCGGCGUGCUUAACACAUGCAAGUCGAACGAAGUGGCGAACGGGUGAGUAAUACGUGGGUAACUUGCCCUCCUUUUUGGGAUAAGCUUUGGAAACGGGGUCUAAUACCCAAUUAAGGGGGAUCGGCUCGCGGUCUAUCAGCUUGUUGGUGGGGUGCUGGCCGCCCACGGCGGUGACGGGUAGCCGGCCUGUGAGGGUAACCGGGGACGUUGGGAGUGACAUACGGCCCAGACGCGGACGAGAGGCGGAAUUGGGGGAUAUUGGGGAAUGGGGGAAAGCCAGAUGCAGCGACGCCGAGUGGGGGAUGAAGGCUUUCGGGUUGUAUACCUCUUGAGGUAUCGAACGGGUAGGUGGAGAAGAAGCGCCGGCUAACUACGUGCCAGCAGCCGCGGUAAUUC
rnacentral:rRNA from 1 species